AUUGAACGCUAGCGGUAUGCUUUACACAUGCAAGUCGAACGAGUGUCGGACGGGUGAGUAAUGUAUCGGAACGUGCCCAGUAGCGGGGGAUAACUACUCGAAAGAGUGGCUAAUACCGCAUACCAUCUGAUCGGCCCAUAUUGGAUUAGCGAGUUGGUAGGGUAAAGGCUCACCCAGGCAACGAUCCCUAGCUGGUUUGAGAGGAUGAAACGCCAAACGUGGACUGAGAAACGGCACAGACUCCUACGGGAGGCAGCAGUGGGGAAUAUUGAACAAUGGGGGAAACCCUGAUCCAGCCAGCCCGCGUGUAUGAGAAGGCCUUCGGGUUGUAAAGUACUUUUAGCAGAGAAGCGGUAUCGGCAGAAGAAGCACCGGCUAACUACGUGCCAGCAGCCGCGGUAAUAU
rnacentral:rRNA from 1 species